AACCGACUCGAUAUGAACCGAAUUUUUUUUAUAUACCAAUGGGCCUAAAAUCCAUAAAAAUACCCCGCACCCCCAUGAAAAAGUUUCUGGAUCCGUCACUGGGAUGAGGAUCUUUCUUUCGGCAACAUAGGUUCAAGAUUGUAUGUGGUUGUCGUAAAGGAUGGGGGUGGUGUAUGAACAUUCAUGGAUAAAAGGAGGUACGGUUAUUCUUGUGUUCAGUGGCCGUUGUUAUCAUGAUUGGCAGAUAGGGUUUUUGUUUCAAGGUCCUCUAUUAUCACUGACAAUAAUUCUAGCAUUGUUCUUCCACUACAUUUUUUUUAUUCUUAACAUCCACCACUUCUGAUUUCUCCAUGGAAUGGUUUAAAAAAAGGCCUGUUGUUUCUGUCUCAAACGUGAAGUGGGGGAUUGGUAUUCGGUUUGCGAUUCAAGAUGAAUGGUAGCGAUGGCUCGAGAUGUGUUAGCGGUGGCGCCGGAGACGGCGGCAGCGGCGAUGGACGGCGGCGUUGGGAUGCUGGUGAAGAAGAAAAGAACGGCGUGUACGAGGAGUUGGAUUCUGAUCGAUGCUGGAUGAGGAUAGUACGAGAUUGUCUUAUACCGGAGUUUGUUCUGUUCUCGUUACUCACCAGAGUUCAUAAUCGGAGGUAGGGUGGUGUUCAUUGAUUUUGGAUUUGGUUGUUAAUAAUGAUGAAGAUCGGGUUCCUUCUGAGAACCCUAGGAGACGUAGAUGAAGAUCAAUCAUGAAAAAUUUGAGAAAAGCAAACCGAUGCAUCAGGUUGUUCAACUCUCGUUCACUUCGAUACCACCGGUGGACAACUUCCGGUGAUGUCGGCUGAAAGUUUUGUUGAUGCAGUUGACGGCUGGAUUUCUUUGUAGCUAGGGUUUGCACAUGAAAGGUUUGAAUGGGCUAGGUAUGAGGCCCAAUGAUUACAUUAUCAUUUCAAGCAUGUUGGAAUGUUCUGGGGCCCACUUAAGCUUGACGGUUGUGUCUACUAAAAUAUGAGAUAUAGGAGGGUCUACCUUUGCGGGGGAAAACGACAAUGAAGAUUUUGGGUAUUUAGCCGAUUUGUGAAGAUUCGAAGACGACAUCAGAUUUAUUUUUGAAGAUCAUUUGAAGAAUUGAUAGCAUCAUUCUCGGGGGAAUAUUGUUGGGACAAAUUAGAGAAUGAUGUUAUCAAUUAUGGCGACCUUAGUUAGCGAUGUUAUAAUUUGUAUGAGGUAGCGAGUUUUAAUUGUGAUAGUCGUUUGUUUUAUGGAGUUUAGGAGGUUUUCCAAGCAAGAGGCGGCUUGCUUGGAAAACAAGGCUCAGGGUCUAUAAAUAGAAUACUAGACACCACUUUUUAGGGGUGCAUUUGGGAACCCCCACCUCGGGGGAGCUCACCCGGGGUGGAUCAUUAUCUUUUGUAUUUGUUCAUCACUAUCAUUCAAAAUAGCUUUGUUCCAAUCCUUAAAGUUUAUAUCUUUAUUGUUUAUUAUC